GUCACAUGUCCUUUACUGAAUUACAGUACAGAAGUCCAGGUUGAUUUUUUUCCUUCAUCUUCCUGAAAAGACCCUGAAUAAUGAUACGUUUGAGAGAAAUGUGUACUCAUCUGAAACAGAUUCUGUAGCUAUCAAUGAAAAUGCACCCAUCAGACAACAGAGGGCUGAUCCUACGUGAAUAUACAAUCCCAUCAGUCAGCUGGCUUCAAGAGCUCUGCUAAUUUAAGCCUUCCUCGUAUCUGGCUCAAACAUAUUUCACAUGAUUAGAUGCCAUCCACAGCCGCUCUGCUGGGUCAUCAAUGGAAAAGAUAAUGCACACCUUGAAGCAUAUGUACAAGUCUGAAUUCUAGAAAGAUGGGAGAAAUCACGAAAUC